CCUACGGGGGGCAGCAGUGAGGAAUAUUGGUCAAUGGGCGCGAGCCUGAACCAGCCAAGUCGCGUGAGGGAUGACGGUCCUACGGAUUGUAAACCUCUUUUGCCGGGGAGCAAGCGUGCGUUCGUGAACGCGCGUCGAGAGUACCCGGAGAAAAAGCAUCGGCUAACUCCGUGCCAGCAGCCGCGGUAAUACGGAGGAUGCGAGCGUUAUCCGGAUUUAUUGGGUUUAAAGGGUGCGUAGGCGGGAUGCCAAGUCAACGGUAAAAUACGGGGGCUCAACCUGCGUCCGCCGUUGAAACAGGCGUU
rnacentral:rRNA from 1 species